AAAUUGAAGAGUUUGAUCAUGGCUCAGAUUGAACGCUGGCGGCAGGCCUAACACAUGCAAGUCGAGCGGAAACGAGUUAACUGAACCUUCGGGGGACGUUAACGGCGUCGAGCGGCGGACGGGUGAGUAAUGCCUAGGAAAUUGCCCUGAUGUGGGGGAUAACCAUUGGAAACGAUGGCUAAUACCGCAUAAUGCCUUCGGGCCAAAGAGGGGGACCUUCGGGCCUCUCGCGUCAGGAUAUGCCUAGGUGGGAUUAGCUAGUUGGUGAGGUAAGGGCUCACCAAGGCGACGAUCCCUAGCUGGUCUGAGAGGAUGAUCAGCCACACUGGAACUGAGACACGGUCCAGACUCCUACGGGAGGCAGCAGUGGGGAAUAUUGCACAAUGGGCGCAAGCCUGAUGCAGCCAUGCCGCGUGUAUGAAGAAGGCCUUCGGGUUGUAAAGUACUUUCAGCAGUGAGGAAGGUGGUGUAGUUAAUAACUGCAUCACUUGACGUUAGCUGCAGAAGAAGCACCGGCUAACUCCGUGCCAGCAGCCGCGGUAAUACGGAGGGUGCGAGCGUUAAUCGGAAUUACUGGGCGUAAAGCGCAUGCAGGUGGU
rnacentral:rRNA from 1 species